rnacentral:rRNA from 1 species
UACGAAGGGGGCUAGCGUUGUCCGGAAUUAUUGGGCGUAAAGAGCUCGUAGGCGGUCUGUCGCGUCUGCUGUGAAAACUCAGGGCUUAACCCUGAGCUUGCAGUGGGUACGGGCAGACUAGAGUGCGGUAGGGGAGACUGGAAUUCCUGGUGUAGCGGUGAAAUGCGCAGAUAUCGAGGGAGGGAACACCCGGUGGCCGAAAGGCGGG